UCUCCGUUGGUGAACCAGCGGAGGGAUCAUUACAGAGUUAUUCAAAACUCCCAAACCCAUGUGAACUUACCUUUUGUUGCCUCGGCAGGGCCUAUUGAGGUCAUCGCGACCUCGGUGGUGGCCUGCCGGUGGACUACCAAACUCUUGUUAUUAUUGUGGAACUCUGAGUUAUCUAAACUUAAUAAGUUAAAACUUUCAACAACGGAUCUCUUGGUUCUG
rnacentral:misc_RNA from 1 species